rnacentral:rRNA from 1 species
AGCAGCCGCCGCGGGAAUACGAAGGGGGCUAGCGUUGCUCGGAAUGACUGGGCGUAAAGGGCGCGUAGGCGGCUGACACAGUCAGAUGUGAAAUUCCUGGGCUCAACCUGGGGACUGCAUUUGAGACGUGUUGGCUUGAGUGGAGAAGAGGGUAGUGGAAUUUCCGGUGUAGCGGUGAAAUGCGUAGAUAUCGGAAGGAACACCUGUGGCGAAAGCGGCUCACUGGACCAUUUCUGACGCUGAUGCACGAAAGCUAGGGGAGCAAACAGGAUUAGAUACCCGCGUAGUCCCUGUCUCUUAUAC